rnacentral:rRNA from 1 species
AUUGAACGCUGGCGGUAUGCCUUACACAUGCAAGUCGAACGGCAGCACGGGUGCUUGCACCUGGUGGCGAGUGGCGAACGGGUGAGUAAUACAUCGGAACAUGUCCUGUAGUGGGGGAUAGCCCGGCGAAAGCCGGAUUAAUACCCCAUACGAUCUACGGAUGAAAGCGGGGGCCCUUCGGGCCUCGCGCUAUAGGGUUGGCCGAUGGCUGAUUAGCUAGUUGGUGGGGUAAAGGCCUACCAAGGCGACGAUCAGUAGCUGGUCUGAGAGGACGACCAGCCACACUGGGACUGAGACACGGCCCAGACUCCUACGGGAGGCAGCAGUGGGGAAUUUUGGACAAUGGGCGAAAGCCUGAUCCAGCAAUGCCGCGUGUGUGAAGAAGGCCUUCGGGUUGUAAAGCACUUUUGUCCGGAAAGAAAUCCUUGGCCCUAAUACGGUCGGGGGAUGACGGUACCGGAAGAAUAAGCACCGGCUAACUACGUG